rnacentral:rRNA from 1 species
UACGUAGGGUGCAAGCGUUGUCCGGAAUUAUUGGGCGUAAAGAGCUCGUAGGCGGUCUGUCGCGUCGGCUGUGAAAACCCGGAGCUCAACUCCGGGCCUGCAGUCGAUACGGGCAGACUGGAGUUCGGCAGGGGAGACUGGAAUUCCUGGUGUAGCGGUGAAAUGCGCAGAUAUCAGGAGGAACACCGGUGGCGAAGGCGGUUCUCUGGGCCUGUUCUGACGCUGAGGAGCGAAAGCGUGGGGAGCGAACAGG